CUUGUUCUUUUCUUGUGUUUAGUUUGCAUUUGAAUGAGAUUAAAAAUGCUUUUGAUUAACAAAAGUACUUUGAAUUUGUAGUAUUAUUCUUUUACUUUGAUACUGUCUUAGAUUUUAUAAAUAACUUUGGAUUAAGUGGUUACGUGAACGAUAACAAUUGUCACAUAAACAAUUCUUGUGGUUAUACUAUUAUGAGACUUCACCCUAAUUUCAAGAUAUCCCAAAAAAGUUGAUGCUAACUAAACAUUGUCAUUAAAAUCAUUGAAAAAGUUAUGUAUUCUUUUACAAUGAUUAGCAAAUAUGUACUCUUUUUGUGAGACCUCAUAUAGAUAUUGAAAGAUUCUAUUACCACAUAAUGAUUCAAUUCAUGCACCAAAAAUGCUAAAACUCACAAUAUGAGAUUUUAAGGUUUUCUGUUUGCACAAAUAUGACAAUACAUCCUUUAAUAGCUUGCUGUCACUAAUAAGUGUAUAUGAAAUUAAAGUAAUAACAAAAGAGACAUAUUAUAUCUGUAACCUGUACUGGGCAUUAUCACAAUUACUCUGGUCAGUAUAUUAUCAAUUUCACUGUGUAUGCAUUAAGCUCUGUGUUGAAGACUGUACUUUGACCUUAUAUGGUUUACUUUUUACACAUUGUGACUUGGAUGGAGUGUUGUCUCAUUGGCAUUCAUAUUACGUCCAUUUACUCCUAAUAUAAAGAGUUGUUAAUGUAUUAAGGUAAAAUCCGAAAAAAAUAGAGGAAUGCUUGAAAGAAAUUUAGUGAAGCCAUUAAAGCCUAUUGUAUUUUAAAAUCUAAAGUAACUUAAAAAUAACAUAUGAUAAAAAAAAAAUGUAUUAAUUUUCAGUUUAAGUUUAUAUAUUGUUUUAAUUUUUGUUGAUUUUAUUUCAUAUUUUUAAAUCCAAAAAUUUGUAUGAAAGAUUUGGGAUAUAUUUAACUGAGAUAGCAAUCCAACAAGCAUUUAUAUUAAAGACGCAAGUUGAAACAUUUUACGUAUUACUAAAUGUUUAUUUUAUUACCCUACAUACAGUUGUGCUGGUCACUUUUAUUGUUUUUAUCUAAAAAAAAUGUGUUUAAUUUGAGCAUCUUAUGAAGCCC
rnacentral:lncRNA from 1 species